AGGGGCGUGCGGGGUGUCUACACAUGCAAGUCGAACGAAGCGCCCGCGCGGAUUCCCUCGGGAUGAAGCGCGGAUGCCUUAAAGGCGGACGGGUGAGUCACGCGUGGGCAACCUGCCCCUUGCCGGGGGACAACAGCCGGAAACGGCUGCUAAUACCGCAUGAUCCGGGAGGGCCGCAUGGCCCUGCCGGGACAGCUCCGGCGGCACGGGAUGGGCCCGCGUCUGAUUAGUUUGUUGGCGGGGUAACGGCCCACCAAGACUGCGAUCAGCAGCCGGCCUGAGAGGGCGGCCGGCCACAUUGGGACUGAGACACGGCCCAGACUCCUGCGGGAGGCAGCAGUGGGGAAUAUUGCACAAUGGGGGAAACCCUGAUGCAGCGACGCCGCGUGGGCGACGAAGCGCUCCGGCGCGUAAAGCCCUGUCAGCAGGGAAGAAAAAAGACAGUACCUGACCAAGAAGCCCCGGCUAACUACGUGCCAGCAGCCGCGGUAAUACGUAGGGGGCAAGCGUUAUCCGGAUUCACUGGGCGUAAAGGGAGCGCAGGCGGCACGGCAAGUCUGGUGUGAAAGCCCGGGGCCCAACCCCGGGACUGCAUUGGAAACUGCCGGGCUGGAGUGCCGGAGGGGUAAGCGGAAUUCCUGGUGUAGCGGUGAAAUGCGCAGAUAUCAGGAAGAACACCGGUGGCGUACGCGGCUUACUGGACGGCAACUGACGCUGAGGCUCGAAAGCGUGGGGAGCAAACAGGAUUAGAUACCCUGGUAGUCCACGCCGUAUACGAUGAAUACCAGGUGUCGGCGGGCAGGGCCCCGCUCGGUGCCGCACUUAACGCCGUAUUUAUUUCCACCUGGGGGAGUAACCCCCCCACAAUGAAAACUCACCGCCUGGAAGGGCCAUCUCCCA
rnacentral:rRNA from 1 species